ensembl:lncRNA
CACAAACCUAUGCUUGUAAGUGUACUAGAAUACCUAAAGUCUUAAAAUAAAUAAAACAGUUUCUUAAAGCAUGUAAAAUGUGGGCCCUGGUGCCACCCUAGCAUAACCAAGUGCCCCUAGUGAGCCUGCCCUGUAAAGGAAAAAAAAUAUCCUGGUUACGCCCCUGCUAAGAGGAUUAAAAGUUUUACAACCAUUUAAGACACGCACCUUGAACAAAUAUGUACACAAGUAUGAUAUAUUUAUGUUAUGUUGUUUUUUCAGUGUCGCCUUUCAUGCCUCAGGCCCUGCCGUGUCCAAAUAAAGCCUGCAAACUGGAUGUUUGACUUCCCCUCUUCUUACCCCGAGUGCUCUGCUGCGGCCCAUUCCUGCGGUGUAGGACAGUGAGAAUAUAAGCGCUUCAGGGGUGGAGCUUGCUUGGCAAUCUCACUGGACGGUCUUGAGAGGUUUUCCAAGGGAAGUGCAAUGAUCAGGAGAUAAAGAAAAGGGAUGGCAGAGCUCAGCUGUGGAUAUCCAACAGUCACGUGACCCCUGGUGAAAGUGAGCUGCAAUCUUUCUUCUACCCUUGUGACUGCGAAAGCCGUACUAGUACUCCAUCAUCUGUGUGUCCUCUUCCAGCCUUGGACUCAUGCACAUGCAGAAUUCACACUUCUUUUUCAACAACAAAUGCUUUUAGAUCUCCAUGGACAGAUUUACCUGAUACCCCAAACAAUGUCAAUUAUUUCAUGAAGAAGCUGAACUGCAACCCAAACAAACAGAUUGUAAUACUUUACAAUGACAACAUCCUUACAAAACUUUCCCCGAUGCUUUUGACUGUCGGGACUCCUGGCCUGUUGAAGUCACUGGACGAUGCGUUAACAAUAAUAUAGAAGGUGUUUUUAAGGACAUAGACCCAGACAGGUUUAAUAUUUCCAACAACAAGGAGCACCUUGGCCGAUGCCAGAGAGAUGAGAUCAGUAAAGAGCAGACUGACAGCUACAUUGGGGAAGAUGGACGCACGGGGAAAACGUCUGGAAGAAUCCGGAAGAAGAGCGUGUCCUUUGCUGAUGAUGUCCUAGUUUUUCUCUAUGACAAGGACAGUCCUACAGAAGAGGCCCACCUCGAGUCAAGUCUCAUCUCAGAGAUCUUGUUUAACGACAAUGACCUGGAGUGGGAGGACGACUUUUUAGCCUUGGAGAAGAACUGUCAGUCUCACAGUCACCCCGAAUCACGUCACUCUACCUCUCCUCUGCCAACUCAAAACUGGACUGUGAACAUGCCUAAAAGUUUUGUCCUGUCCCAAAGCUGCCUGUUCCUCACACAUGUUAACGAAUCAGACCUUGAACUGUGAGAUAAACCAUUCAGAGGUUGUUGGCAGGUGGGAGGGGCAUCCGGUGUGAUCUCGCAUUGUGACUGGCUGAAGAGCGCGACGUGGUCCUUGGUCUGUGCAGGUAGCGCCUCGAGCGCAACAGUUAUCUGCGUGCGUCUCGUGCGUCGUUACAGCCGCGCUUUCAGAGCUCCCCACACGAGGAACAGCGUUAUCCUGCUUUUUCCAAGGAACUGUCUUAAUGUGAAAAUCUGACUGGAUUACAUCGGGAGAGGAAAACCCGCUUUUUGUUGCAAAGGUACUUUUUUUCUUCUUCCCCAACUCCUGUUAGUUUUUACAAAGCGUUGUACAGAGUUGACUAUGAGCUGCUGUGUUUACUUGACUUGUGCAUGUUUAUUUUGUAUCAGUUUCAACAUUGGCGGUGAUAGUGAUGGAAAAGUGCCAUAUGCAAACGGUAUUUAACGGUAGAUAACUUAAGACAGAUUGGCUACUAUCUAAUUGUAAAGCCUGCCUUUUUUUCCAUUCACAUGCAAAUUAGAUAACAUGCAAUCAUCGUGAAAUAACUAGGCUAUAUAACAUUAUUUCCCCCCAUUUAGUUGAAAACAAAAAAAAAUGCAUGUGUUUUGGUUUAGGCUCUUGUCACCUUGAAAUGGGCAUAUCUCAGGAGUGUGUGGAUAAGAGGAGAGAUUGCCCACCAACGUGAUGAAGUUUUCACACUGCAGGAGGCUGAUUAGAUACAACAGGAUGCAGGUCUGUUUGAGCUGGAAGACCCCAAGCUUUUGAACUUGAGAGAGAGAAACAUUUUUCUGCCUCUGGAUUCAGAACAUUUUCAAACCUUUUUUAGUUCUUUCUAUUCUAUUAUGUAGCAGCCUGAUACAAAAGUAACAAAAGUAUUGAGACGAAUACAACAGUGGCUACUAUGAUGGUUACUGCUACGUGGGCUUCUUCUGGUUAUAUUCAGGGUCAUGUUUCAUGCCUAGUUUAUAGUACAUAAUUUAGUCACAUUUAUGUUUAUUUUACUGCCUUUUUAGAUCCGGUUCUUAAUCUUACUAUACACCCGGUGGUACUUGGAUGGUCAAAUAUUUUAUAAGGGGGUUUGUACCUGUGGACAAUUUUGGGAACCACUGCUAUACAACAAUGGCUGGCCCAUUCUAUUGCUCUCAAUCAUUGUAACAGGAACAGCCCCCUCAUAGAACAGCCCCUGUGCAGAUUUUAUUUUUUUGGGAAUCUGAAUUUAAACAUUGCAUUUUUCAGUGUUAGACUUCAACAUAAAAACCGGUCUGACUCUUUGCUUCAGGUUCGUGGAAGUAU